UGACAUCCUAAUAAAAAUGAGAAACUUGUUAAACUUACAACAGGGAAGAGGAAGUGAGAGGAACAACCUCAGAGCAUUGCAAAAACAAUGCAGGAAAAAGCUAUGGUGUCAAACAGGCUUUAUUCAGAGAUGCUGCUGUAUCAAAAUGCAGGAUGUUGAACCCCUAGGUUAUUUCAUCCUUUGCUACACACAGAAAACAAACGGUCAUGGAAGAAACAGCUGCUGCAAUUGGAGGGAAAAUGUGUGAGCUCACAAAGGAGAGGGGAAUACUUUCUACUUGCAGAAAGCACACGUAACAAGGACAAUUUAUCACCCGAAGUUCUAUCUACUGUGCCUUUCUUUGUGAAGAUGCAAAAGAAAUCCUGAGCAUCUACUUUAUUGAAAUUCUGUUAUUGUGAAAUCACACACAGUGGGAGACUGUGGGUUUAUAUUGAAAGUUACCAAGGUGGCACCGAAAAUGAAGCUAAGAAUUAAUUGAGGAUUCAAAUGUAAGUAGGUGACCAUGCAAUCACUAUAAAAACCUUAGCCAAAUAAGAAAUGUUAUCAUUCGAAUUAGAACUUAUUUUUUUUUUUAGUGACAAAACUGUAUUACUCAACUGCCGUAAUUCUUGUUAAAAGUGAUGGAAUAAUUGCUUUAACUCCAACAAACUGAACUCCUAUUUUGUCUUCAAAAUAUUAGCAAAAGCCCAGAGCCAAAGGAUUCUAAGUCUGUACCAGAGAACAGCACUUCAAAUGUUCUGUGUGUCAAUGUGCAACAGACAAAGGGAUAGGAACAUUCAUAUCUCAUGGCGCAGAUGCAACUAUCAUAAGAUUGAGACUCGCUCUUCAAUAUUUCUUUUCCAGACCUCAGUUAUGAAUGACAGUAGGUAGGAAAAAAAUUAGUUGCAGCACAAGCGAAAGAAGUUUCGAAGUUGUAGUGGAAAUGCUGAGUCACGGUGUGAAGCAGUGACUGAGCACCUGGUGGGAAGGCAGGGCCAACCUGGGAACUACUAAUGGAAGACAGCGCUCAAUCAGCUGCUCUGCUGCAGGAGCUGAUAGAGGCGUGUGAGCAGCCUGCAGAAAUCCUGCAGGACAGAGCUGCUGGGCCACGGAGCCAAGGCGCCGCAGGGCUCACUGCCCUUGCUCCAGCCUUGCCGUGACUUGAGAAUGGGCAAGGAAUGCCCUUUCCCACCAUGCAUCCACGUAAAUGGUCCUGAUUGCCUUACAGUGUAAGAAGAGGUCUGCAGAGCUGGGAUGCCAGCAGUCCCCAGGCAUCUGCACUGCCGGCUGUUCCAGCCUGUGCAGGGCUAGCACCAAGAGGUGCCCAUCUCGGCUCCAGCAGAGGCCAGGCAGCUGCCUCGGGUCCCUGUGGCCACCACGGGGGGGAAGAGGUUCCGGUGCUGGCCGAGGCCUCAUCUCACACACCAAACUCCUGGUGUCUGUAACAGGAGGAAGGUGACACGUCAGGAAGAGCACAUCACUUCCUUGAUGCAAGAGACGGUGGUGGCUGUGUGAGUAAGACAGAAAGCCCCGCUGUGAUCCUGGGCAGGGAAGGGUCACCUCAAGGCCACGGCAGUGGAUAUGGGCCUUCCUCUGUUUGUGGGGAUGAAGGAGGAUUUCAGAGUGACCAAACCUUCACACACCCCAACACGCGUCCCUGCUUUGCCUUGUCCUCUACGAUAAGCAGACGGCAGGACAGAGACAUCCACUCACAACCUGGCUGCGGUGAGUUGCCCUGGGGUCCAGAGACAAUCAGGCAUCUUUUGACUUCUGGAGGAAUGGAAAGCUUCAGUAUUUCUUAGUGUACUGUGUGGGGAGAGCAGGUGGGAUGAUGGUUUUGGCAGCCCUGCUUGUACUAUGACAGAUUCGGUUGCUCCCUGUAUGGCACAGAUCCAUGCAGGCAUUUGGAGGGCUUGCUUGGAAAGUGCUGAGACAAAUGUGCCCCUGGGUCUGAGUGAACCUUCUUCUGUUGUACAGGAGGUUUCUGCUGUUCUUGGGCUUGCUUGUCUUCUUCAUCCUGGUCCUGCUGCAAAGGGACAUCCUCCACGGGGUCCUGCCUGCAGAGCUGGCAACUGCCCUUGGCAGCCGUCCACCAAAACCUGCUCUUUUCUGAUUCUAGAAUGCACUGCAGCCCUUCAUCGUGGCACUGUUAGGUGUGCCCAGGCAUUAGGUGUGCCUGCCCUGUCACUGAUAACAUCAAUGAAAAUCCAACUCCAUUCCAAAAUGUCUCAUUUGUGCAUGGCAAUCGUUAGACCCCAUUGACAAAUGUCUGUUGUACCACGUGAAGGAGAUAGUGAGAUUCUGGAGCUUAGUAACAGGAGUCAGAGUUCUCCGAGCAUUGAGGAGGCCCCAAAUGACAAUCCACAUGAGUUGCAUCUGUAUGAUCACGAUUCAGAUGUUCAGCAUGAGCAAAUACAUAACCUUUCUUGUGGUGUGUCUCCCAAUAUUUCCCUUUUUUUGUUUAUUAAGAAUUGAUUUCAGUGUUUGAUGAAUACACUCAAUGAUAGCUUGUCCAAUGGAAGAAUGUGGAAUGCCUGUAGUAUGUCUAAUCCCCAUUCCUGGAGGAAAGUUUGAGUGGCCUUAGAAGGAUAUGCAGGUCCAUUAUCUGUUUUUUAUAGUAUGGGGGAUCCCCGUUACAGCAUAAGCAGAUAACCAGUGUUUACAGGCAUUACAACUGCGUUUGCCUGUAUGUGCUGUGGCAAAUAUGUAAGAAGAAUGCCUGCCUAUUGUUACGUGUACAUAUCUUAGAUGGCCAAAUUUGGGAACAUGAGUGACAGCUGUCUGCCACAGUUGAAGAGCAGCUGUGCCACGGAGAUUUGUCCCAAUUUCAGGCAAAGUCUGGGCAUGUUAGAAUAAUGUUAUGGGCUUGAUCCACUGUCAGCUGGAAUUGUUUUUGUAAAGCUCUCCUAUUCUGAUGGAAAAACUGAUGGGAGAGUCACGCUUGUGAAAUAAUUGAGAGGUAGCAAAGGCGACUUGAUCAGCCUUAUGGUUGCCCUCAGUUAAAAGACCAGGCAACGUAGUGCGUGAUUGAAUAUGUAUAAUGAAAUAAGGAAGAGUACGGUGAGAGACAUAAUGUAAAACUCACACUCUUCUGCCCAUUUUCCCACAGACCGCAUGACCGUGCAACAACAGGGAGUUUAGAUCGGCAUUCUCUCGCCCAGUGCAGCCCCCUCCUGCAUGGGAGACAGGGUUGAAUUGGCAUAUCACAAGCAUUUUCAUUUGCUUGCUUAGGCUUUUUGCAGUCCCUUUGUACAUAACCAUACAAUUGUAACAAUUUCAUUUCCUGCUGUCAGGAAAUGAAGUCAGGCUGCCAGCAUGUCUGCUAGCAAGGCCAUUUUAUGACCUACCGUGCCUACGUUUUGACAGGCUUCAAUCAUAUCAGUAAUGGAUGGAUCUGCAUUCAUUACGGAUUGUAAAACUGUUCCAAAGUCCACAUUUGCAUUUUCUAUUGCUCACUGCUUAAUCAAAGCAUCUUGGGCGGCUUGAUUUACUACUUGUCUCUCCGGCAUAUUUUGUCAAGCAAUUUAAUGUAGGGCUCAGCAGCCCCUGCUUAAUUGAUGUAAAUGAGGCAUUAGAUGAAUUAGUAUCAGGAAUCCGACGGACGGCGUGCAUCACCAAAGUUUUCACUUGUUCAAAGCGCUGCCUAUCCAUCUGUGCCUGGGCCUGAGGUGUUGCCCAGAUCCCCUCCCCCAUGAGUUCCUCCAUGCCCAUAUGAUUUAAGUUAUUGAAAUUGUUCAUAGCCUGGACGGUAGCCUGCUCUUGGUAUUCAGUCAUAAACACUGUAUAUUGCAUGGGAGACAAGAUCAUUCGUAACAAAAUUUUCCAGUCAUGAGGGGUCGUAACAAAACUGUCACCAAUUGCAACCAAAAGAUUACAUGUAAAGGCAGACUGAACUCCAUAACCUCUGGCUUCCUUAGCUCCUUUACUCCCUCAUAAGGCAGGGAUUCCCACUCGAGGGGCUGAUGUGGAUGAUAAAGCACAGGAAAGGCCUGCAUCGUUUCAGCAUCACCCCGUGAUACUGCUUCUUUUCUGCACCGUUCUAAAGCACCGUAGUACGUUGUAGAAGAAUUUUUCUUUCCCGCACCCUUCAAUUUAUCAUCAGGAGGGAAAAUGUUCGGUUCGUCUUCCGGAUCUACUGGACCAGGAUCAAAAAGUUCCGUCCUUGUCUUUAACCAAGUUACAUGCGGGCUGCACAGACGCAGCAGCAGGCGACGUAGGCGGGGCGGAGGGAGGCUGCGUUACGGCGAGCGUCGGGGGCGGAGGGCGGGAGUGGCGUGGCAGCGGUUGGAGAGGAGCUGUGUUUUCUCUUCUCCUCGGCCGUGGGCGGUCGGAGCCGCGGAUCGAAUCCGGGCUGCGGCUGCUUUCCGGGCUGAGGGGCAGCGGCGGGGGUGGCAGGGAGGGCGAUGGGGAAGAAAUUCUUCCUUAUCGCUGCCGGGCCGGACUCGCUCAGCCUCGGCUUCAUUUGCUCCACGUGGUCGGCGCCGUUUGCAGCGUCUGAUGCACGCACUCAGAUGUGAACGAUCCUAAUCGUUUAUUACAAGUGCUCACAUCACUCCUAUGCGGUCACAAGUUUUCUAGCUUUCCGAUCCUGCCCUACAACUUUCCCAUCCAUAUUUACAUCUCAACAGAGCAAUUUACAAACGCUCCUUAGCCGUUCACGCGGUCGAUUAUCCACUCAGAGUCGUGAGCCGUUCUUUCUUCUUCUAGAAGUGUCCUUAGUUCUCACGCUGUUUAUCUUGCUCCACAGCUGCUGCUCUGAACAGUUUUUCUGGUAUUCCCACAGGGCAGGGAUUUUGGCAGCCCUGUAUGACAGAUUUGGUUGCUCCGUCUACGGCACAGGUCUGUGGGGCAGUUUGGAGUGGUUGGUUGGAAAGUGCUGAUAUAAAUGUGGCCCCGGGUCUGAGUGAAACUACUUCUGUUGCACAGGAGGUUUCUGCUGUUCUUGGGUCUGCUGCAGCUUGUCUUCUUCAUCCUGGUCCUGCUGAAGAAGGACAUCUUGCAGAGCUUGCAACUGCCCUUGGCAGCUGUCCACCAAAACCUCUUUUCUGACCGCAGCACACACUGCAGCCCUUCAUCAUGGCACUGUUAGGUGUGCCCAGGCAUUAUGUGUGCCUGCCCUGUCACUAAUAACAUCAAUAAAAUCCAUCAAAAUUACAAAACGCAAGAAUAUACACUAUCACAAGAAAUGCCUCGGAAAGCAAGUUCUGAGCAAAAAACAAGGGUUCAGACAACCCAUCGCAACUGCUAAAUGAGCUCUUGGAGAACUCUUGGGUGGCAUUUCUGUGCUUUCACCUAUGGCGACUAUAUCCAAUUUCUACUCCAGAGCUAAAACCUUUACGUUCCUGGAAAAAAAAAAUUUUUUUUUUUUGUAAGCUUGUUCAUCAAUUGGCUAAGGACACUCCAGGGAACAGUGAAAAACAUGUAGCCUUGCGUUCCAUUGUGUUAAGGGAACGUGAAAAUAGCUAUCAAGAAUUGAAAAA